rnacentral:misc_RNA from 1 species
AAAGAGGAGGUUGUAGCACGCAGGCAAAGGAAACUACUCGAUAGGCAUGCCCGGCAAAAGUUUUUGGAAGAGGCAGCCCUUCGAGAAGCUGAACUUCUACAAGAGCUAGAUAGAGAGAGGAUGGCUGAAGUAGAAAAGGAGAUUGAGAGACAACGUAUACUGGAGCUUGAACGUACAAAAACCAGGGAGUUGCGACACAGCCUUGAUCUAGAGAAAGAAAAGCAAGCGCAGAGAGAACUGCAACGAGAACUUGAGCAAGUUGAAUCUGGAGUUCGAUCGAGACGAGAUUUUUCAUCCACAAAUAGUGGUAGGCCGCGAGAAAGAUACCGUGAAAGGGAAAUGGGAAGAGCAGGUAAUGAAGGGACCAGAACAAGUACAGGGAUGACACAGCCUGAAACUGCGACGAGCUCAUCAAUGGUAACCAUGCCUACUGUUGUUCUAUCAGGGGCUAGGCAGUUCUCUGGCCAACAUCCAACUAUUCUACAAUCACGCGACAGAGAUGAAUGUGGCAGUAGCUAUGAAGAAAACUUUGAUGGUAGUAAAGACUCAGGGGACACAGGGAGUAUUGGGGACGCAGACCUGGUAUCAGCACUUGAGGGUCCGUCCAUGAACUUUGGGUCGUCUCAAAGGCAUGGUCCCCGGGGGAGUAAGCCUAGGCAAAUUGUGGAACGAAGAGAACGAGAUGGUAGAAGGGAAAGUAAAUGGGAGAGAAAACAUUAAAUAAGCAUCAACAAGAUUAGUCGCAUUACCUACCAAGUAGUAGUGCUAUAGGAUGGUUAUAAAUUUUUGGAUAACCAGAUUUAUCUGUGUUAGCCAGAAUGUUGUUGUAGGUAUAUAUUUAUCUAUAUAGGAAGAAGCUCAAGGAAGGUGGUAAAUUUGCAGCAUUGUUCUCAUAGUAAGCUAGGGAGUAACUAGUCGAGCUUCAGGCCGUUUUGUAUAAGUAAUUGUACCAUUAUCUAUUGUAAUGACAUGUGACUUUUAUAUUCAAGAUUUU